GACGAACGCUGGCGGCGUGCUUAACACAUGCAAGUCGAACGAGAGCGUAGAGAAAGCUUGCUUUUUCUACAAUCUAGUGGCAAACGGGUGAGUAACGCGUAAACAACCUGCCCUACGGAUGGGGACAACAGCUGGAAACGGCUGCUAAUACCGAAUACGUUCCGAAAGUCGCAUGACUAUCGGAAGAAAGGAUGGCCUCUAUUUAUAAGCUAUCGCCGGAGGAGGGGUUUGCGUCUGAUUAGCUAGUUGGAGGGGUAACGGCCCACCAAGGCGACGAUCAGUAGCCGGUCUGAGAGGAUGAACGGCCACAUUGGAACUGAGACACGGUCCAGACGCCUACGGGAGGCAGCAGUGGGGAAUCGUCCGCAAUGGGCGAAAGCCUGACGGAGCAACGCCGCGUGAGGGAAGACGGCCUUCGGGUUGUAAAGCUCUGUUAUACGGGACGAAUAAUCUUGUGGUUAAUACCCAUGAGAAGUGACGGUACCGUAAGAGAAAGCCACGGCUAACUACGUG
rnacentral:rRNA from 1 species